AGUCGAGGGGCAGCACAGGUAGCAAUACCGGGUGGCGACCGGCGCACGGGUGAGUAACGCGUAUGCAACUUGCCUAUCAGAGGGGGAUAACCCGGCGAAAGUCGGACUAAUACCGCAUGAAGCAGGGGCCCCGCAUGGGGAUAUUUGCUAAAGAUUCAUCGCUGAUAGAUAGGCAUGCGUUCCAUUAGGCAGUUGGCGGGGUAACGGCCCACCAAACCGACGAUGGAUAGGGGUUCUGAGAGGAAGGUCCCCCACAUUGGUACUGAGACACGGACCAAACUCCUACGGGAGGCAGCAGUGAGGAAUAUUGGUCAAUGGGCGCGAGCCUGAACCAGCCAAGUCGCGUGAGGGAUGAAGGUUCUAUGGAUCGUAAACCUCUUUUAUAAGGGAAUAAAGUGCGGGACGUGUCCCGUUUUGUAUG
rnacentral:rRNA from 1 species